GGGCAGCGCGAGGGGGCCGCCGCCAUGCCGAUGAAGGGCCGGUUCCCCGUGCGGCGGACGCUGCAGUACCUCAGCCAAGGCGAUGUCAUUUUCAAGAGCUCCGUGAAGGUUAUGACCGUGAACUACAACACGGCGGGGGAACCGAGCGAGGGGGCGAGAAAGUUUGUGUUUUUCAACAUCCCCCAGAUCCAGUACAAAAACCCCUGGGUGCAGAUCAUGCUCCUCAGGAACAUGACGCCUUCGCCGUUCCUCCGCUUCUACCUCGAUAGCGGAGAACAAGUUUUGGUUGAUGUGGAAGAUAAAACCAACAAGGAGAUAACUGAACACAUUAAAAGAAUUCUGGGCAAAAGCAAAGAAACACUUGAAAAAGAGGAAAGAGAGAGAGAAAAACUGUCACAUCCUGCAACUUUUGGGCCCAAGAAGUAUCAUCUGCGAGAGUGCAUGUGUGAAAUUGAAGGCCAGGUUCCUUGCCCUGCCUUUGUGCCACUGCCCAAAGAGAUGAGAGGAAAAUAUAAAGCUUGUCUGAAAAAUGAAUCAUCUGCCUGACAUCUCAGGUCAUACAGCUGUGUUUCUUCAGGGCUGGAUGAUCACAGUGGUUCUUCAGAGAUAAAUGUUAACACAUCCUGGAAAUGGGAGCAAGUUCAUGUGAAAUUGAUGUCCCAGUCUCAAUCUUACAGCCACAACUAGAAUAGUUACUGUGAAAAAUAUUAUUAAAUAAAUGUUUAAGGUCAUUGCAAAAAGAGGAUGGCUGAUGUUGAAAGGGACCUCUCUCUCCAUUCAUCUUGCCCAGGACUGUGUCUGGAUUGCUUCUGAAGAUCUGAGAGAGGGAGAGGGAGAAUCACCACAGCCUCUUUGACAACCUGCGCCAGAGCUCACUCACCCUCACAGUUGGUGUUUUUAAUGAUGUCCAGAGGGAUCCUCCUACGUUUUAGUUUGUGCCCGUUUCUUGCCCUGGCAUUAGACACCACUGAAAAGCCUGGCACCAUCAUCCUUGUACUCAAGCAGAGUAUCUUUGCAGUGCUGACAACAACGGAUUUGGUCAUCAUCCUUCUCAUCCAGAACAGAGCUCACACUGCUUAUACUGCUAAUGCUGCCUCGGCGAGAGCCAUGGACGCUAUUAGGUGAGGCGUUCGGGCUAGUAAGAGAACUCAAGGCCUCUUUACUGGCACUGGUGAGUUUGCCUAAAAAUUAUGCAUGGGUAAUUUUACAGUGACAGGAGAAGCCAACAAAUUUCACCAACACAAAUAAUGCACUUUAACAAAAGCUAGCAUUACCCAACACUAGAAAACCAGCUUGAAACAGUCUGCUGAAAGACAUUCAAGGAACACAUAGCAACCAAAACUACAAAUCUGAAUUUGGGUCUUCCCUGCAAGAUCCUGCUUCACUCUAAAAGCAGCAAGAGAACGUGCUACUGGGAACUACUUCCUUUGUUUAUGCCUAGUAGCAUUCUCACUCUGGAUCUUGUGGUUAAAAAAAAAAGCACAUGGAAAAAUUGAUAUGUUAAUACUGUCCUUAUGUUGUGCUGGAACUCUCUGGAGAGCCCAAUUAACAUCAUUUAUUUCCACAGAGAAAUAGUCUCCUCUCCAAUGCACUAGAUAAGGAAAGUAAAGUUGGAAGGGCUUCUUAAAGGCUUGUGUAUUAAUUCCCUUGAUGUCAGCAUUUGGACAGCCAUGGGCAAGACUCAACAUUUAAAAGUGGUAUGGAUAUUUCAACAA